CCAAUAGCGUAUAUUAAAGUUGUUGCAGUUAAAAAGCUCGUAGUUGAAUUUCGGGGUCAGUAGGUUGGUCGUGCCACUGGUAUGUACUGGCUUCACUGAUUCCUCCCUCUUGUAGAACCGUAAUGCCAUUAAGUUGGUGUUGCGGGGAAACAGGACUGUUACUUUGAAAAAAUUAGAGUGUUUAAAGCAGGCUAACGCUUGAAUACAUUAGCAUGGAAUAAUGAAAUAGGACGUUUGAUCCUAUUUUGUUGGUUUCUAGGAUUGACGUAAUGAUUAAUAGGGAUAGUUGGGGGCAUUAGUAUUCAAUUGUCAGAGGUGAAAUUCUUGGAUUUAUUGAAGACUAACUACUGCGAAAGCAUUUGCCAAGGAUGUUUUCAUUAAUCAAGAACGAAAGUUAGGGGAUCGAAGACGAUCAGAUACCGUCGUAGUCUUAACCAUAAACUAUGCCGACUAGGGAUCGGAUGAUGUUAAUUUUUUAAUGACUCAUUCGGCGCCUUACG
rnacentral:rRNA from 1 species